CGGUAAUACGUAGGGCGCAAGCGUUGUCCGGAAUUAUUGGGCGUAAAGAGCUCGUAGGCGGCUUGUCGCGUCGGUUGUGAAAGCCCGGGGCUUAACCCCGGGUCUGCAGUCGAUACGGGCAGGCUAGAGUUCGGUAGGGGAGAUCGGAAUUCCUGGUGUAGCGGUGAAAUGCGCAGAUAUCAGGAGGAACACCGGUGGCGAAGGCGGAUCUCUGGGCCGAUACUGACGCUGAGGAGCGAAAGCGUGGGGAGCGAACAGGAUUAGAUACCCUGGUAGUCCACGCCGUAAACGGUGGGAACUAGGUGUUGGCGACAUUCCACGUCGUCGGUGCCGCAGCUAACGCAUUAAGUUCCCCGCCUGGGGAGUACGGCCGCAAGGCUAAAACUCAAAGGAAUUGACGGGGGCCCGCACAAGCAGCGGAGCAUGUGGCUUAAUUCGACGCAACGCGAAGAACCUUACCAAGGCUUGACAUACGCCGGAAAGCAUCAGAGAUGGUGCCCCCCUUGUGGUCGGUGUACAGGUGGUGCAUGGCUGUCGUCAGCU
rnacentral:rRNA from 1 species